GUGAGGAAUAUUGCGCAAUGGAGGCAACUCUGACGCAGCCAUGCCGCGUGCAGGAAGAAGGCGCUACGCGUUGUAAACUGCUUUUAACCGGGAAGAAACCCCAGGACGUGUCCUGGGUUGACGGUACCGGAGGAAUAAGCACCGGCUAACUUCGUGCCAGCAGCCGCGGUAAUACGAAGGGUGCAAGCGUUAUCCGGAUUCAUUGGGUUUAAAGGGUGCGUAGGCGGAGCGUUAAGUCAGUGGUGAAAUCCUGCAGCUUAACUGUAGACGUGCCAUUGAUACUGGCGCUCUUGCGUGCGCUUGAAGUGGGCGGAAUGUGCCGUGUAGCGGUGAAAUGCUUAGAUAUGGCACAGAACACCAAUUGCGAAGGCAGCUCACUAAGGCGAUACUGACGCUGAGGCACGAAAGCGUGGGGAUCGAACAGGAUUAGAAACCCCGGUAGUCC
rnacentral:rRNA from 1 species